rnacentral:sRNA from 1 species
GUGGCGGAUCACGGGCCUCUGGGCAAUAG